rnacentral:SRP_RNA from 1 species
GCUGGGCACUGUGGCACAUGCCUGUAGUCCCAGCUACUCGGGAGGCUGAGGUGGGAGAAUCACUUGACAAGUUGUGGGCUGUAGUGCGCUAUGCCGAUUGGGUGUCCGCAGUAAGUUCGGCAUCAGUAUGGUGACCUCCCAGGAACGAGGGACCACCAGGUUGCCUAAGGAGUGGUGAACCAGCCCAGGUCAGAAAUGGAGCAGGUCAAAACUCUUGUGCUGAUCAGUUUUUGGAUCGCGCCUGUGAAUAGCCACUGCACUCCAGCCUGGGCAACAUAGCAAGACCCCGUCUCU